UGGUAACUCACAGUAAUUCUGCCUGU
rnacentral:piRNA from 1 species